UCGGCGUAGGAUGGGGGUUCGAGGAUGGAGUUGAAAGCUGUCCGACGACUCUGGCGGUCCGUCAACGACGACGACGAUGCUGGGCCGUUGGAUGAAUCGUCGAGGGCGAGAGAUUCCAUUUCGUCUCGUGAUUCGCGCAGGAAGAGGCUAACGUGCGCCGAGGACGAUAGGUAAGGGUUGCAGAAGCGAAGAAGAAGAAGAAGGAAGAGAUUCGGAUGAAGAUGGGAGUGUUGGGGCGGCAUUGGAUUACACGGCAAGCGAGCGAGUGGGUUGAGAGAGGGAAACUGAGUCGACUCGGUAAAAAAUCGGAAUUGUGAACAGGGGAUUAGUCUAAUUUUGGCGUAAAGUGAGGGGUCCGUUCGCAAAUAUAAUAAAUGUAAAAUACCGCCACGCAAGCUGCCAGGUGUGCACAAAACGCUGUUACUGUACUGAAAGCGUUUCUCAGACGUUGUUUGAAAAUGUUUUUGGCUUCAUUAUAAUAAAGAGAUAUAAAGGAAAAUUUGUGCUAAA